rnacentral:rRNA from 1 species
UACAGAGGUCUCAAGCGUUGUUCGGAUUCAUUGGGCGUAAAGGUGCGUAGGCGGCGCGGUAAGUCGGUGUGAAAUCUCGGGCUUAACUCCGAAACUGCAUUCGAUACUGCCGUGCUUGAGGACUGGAGAGGAGACUGGAAAUUUACGGUGUAGCGGUGAAAUGCGUAGAUAUCGUAAGGAAGACCAGUGGCGAAGGCGGGUCUCUGGACAGUUCUGACGCUGAGGAGCGAAAGCGUGGGGAGCGAACAGG